rnacentral:misc_RNA from 1 species
GAAGGAAGUAAAAGUCGUAACAAGGUUUCCGUAGGUGAACCUGCGGAAGGAUCAUUAGAGAAAAAUAAAAUAAUUUUGAUAUAUUUUAUAAUAUAUCAAUAUAUAUUUUAUUGAUAAAAAAUUUUUUUCGAAUCAAGUGUCAUAUAGAGCCAACACAUGAAUGAUUCAUAAAAAAAAAUUUUUUUUGUUGACAAUAUGUCAAUUAUAUUAUUAACACACUUAUUGUGUGGUGUACCGGUUAUAUAUAAUAUAUAUAACCGGGCUAGCGUUUAUUCGCUAGAUGUCCUAAAAGUAUAUCAUAAUAAUUAUUAAUUAUUAUGAGAUUACUUUUGGAAUAUUUUGUGUGAUCAUAAAAAUAUAAAAUAAAACAACCGUUAGCGGUGGAUCACUCGGUUCGUGUAUCGAUGAAGAACGCGGCCAACUGCGAUAAUUGGUGCGAUUCGCAGCGCCUAGUGAGUCAUUGAAAUUUUGAAUGCAAAUGGCAUGUUAGAUUACAAGUCUAACGUAUGUCUGGUUGAGUGUUGUUAAUAAAUAUAUAUAUAUGCGUUUAUCUUAUAGAAAAAGAUAAAUAUAUUAUAUAUGAUUGGUUGUGUAAUUUCACGGUUACUCUACUAAAGUAUAAUAAUAAUAUUUUAUAAAUAUUAUUGUAUAUAUACCUCAUAAAUUUUUUUUUAUAUUAAUAUAUAUUGUUAUUAUAAUAAGGUAUAAACACGGCUUUGAAUAAAAGACGUUGUUUAUAAUAAAUUAUUAUAAAUAAUAAUUAUUAACAUAAUAAAAAUUUAAAGAGAAUGUAUAUAAAAAUUUGAUUAUAUAACCUCAACUCAGGCAAGAUUACCCGCUGAACUUAAGCAUAUCAGUAAGCGGAGGAAAAGAAAACAACUGUGAUUCCCUUAGUAACUGCGAGUGAAGCGGG